GGUCAAGUGAAUAAGCGCACAUGGUGAAUGCCUUGGCGAUAAGAGGCGAUGAAGGGCGUAGUAAUCUGCGAAAAGCUUUGGUGAGUCGAUAACAGACUUUGACCCAGAGAUUCCCGAAUGGGGCAACCCAGCCAGCAUAAGCUGGUUAUCCUGCACUGAAUAGAUAGGUGUCAGGAGGCGAACCCGGAGAACUGAAACAUCUAAGUACCCGGAGGAAAAGAAAUCAACCGAGAUUUCCCUAGUAGCGGCGAGCGAACGGGAAACAGCCUGCAAGUGAUAAUAGUUGUAUUAGUGGAAUAAGCUGGAAAGCUUAGCGAUACAGGGUGAUAGCCCCGUACACGAAAAUGCGAUUAUGGUACUAGGCUUGCGACAAGUAGGGCGGAGCACGAGAAACUUUGUCUGAACAUGGGGGGACCAUCCUCCAAGGCUAAAUACUACUUAUCGACCGAUAGUGAACCAGUACCGUGAGGGAAAGGCGAAAAGAACCCCGUUAAGGGGAGUGAAAUAGAACCUGAAACCGUGUGCGUACAAGCAGUAGGAGCAUACUUGUUAUGUGACUGCGUACCUUUUGUAUAAUGGGUCAGCGACUUAAUUUAUGUAGCGAGAUUAACCGAGUAGGGGAGUCGAAGGGAAACCGAGUCUUAAUAGGGCGAAUAGUUGCAUGGAUUAGACCCGAAACCUGGCGAUCUAUCCAUGGCCAGGGUGAAGGUGGGGUAACACCUACUGGAGGCCCGAACCCACGUAUGUUGAAAAAUGCGGGGAUGAGCUGUGGAUCGGAGUGAAAGGCUAAUCAAGCCAGGAGAUAGCUGGUUCUCCUCGAAAGCUAUUUAGGUAGCGCCUCGCGUCUCACUCUUGGGGGUAGAGCACUGUUACGGCUAGGGGGUCAUCCCGACUUACCAACCCGUUGCAAACUCCGAAUACCAAGAAGUGCAAUCGCGGGAGACACACAGUGGGUGAUAACGUCCAUUGUGAAAAGGGAAACAACCCAGACCAUCAGCUAAGGUCCCAAAAUUAUCACUCAGUGGAAAACGAUGUGGGAAGGCCCAGACAGCUAGGAGGUUGGCUUAGAAGCAGCCAUCCUUUAAAGAAAGCGUAAUAGCUCACUAGUCGAGUCGGCCUGCGCGGAAGAUGUACCGGGGCUUAAGUGAUAUACCGGAGCUAUGGAUGCCGUGCAUCUUUAAGAUUAUUUAAACAAGCUGUCGCCGCUAGGCGACUAAGCGCCACCGAACGUUGAGUCGGUGAGUGGCUAGAUGUGGAAAGUAAUUUUAAAGAUGCACGGCAUGGUAGAGGAGCGUUCUGUAAGCGGUUGAAGCUAUCCUGUAAGGGGUGGUGGACGUAUCAGAAGUGCGAAUGCUGACAUGAGUAACGAUAAAGGGGGUGAGAGGCCCCCUCGCCGAAAAUCCAAGGUUUCCUGCUCAACGCUAAUCGGAGCAGGGUGAGUCGGCCCCUAAGGUGAGGCAGAAAUGCGUAAUCGAUGGGAAACAGGUUAAUAUUCCUGUACCUCUUGUAACUGCGAUGGGAUGACGGAGAAGGUUAGAUCAGCACGGCGAUGGUUGUCCGUGUUUAAGCGUGUAGGCUGAGAGUUUAGGUAAAUCCGGACGCUCAUUAAGGCUGAGGCGUGAUAACGAGUCCUCUUUUGGACGAAGUGAUUGAUACCCUGCUUCCAGGAAAAGUCUCUAAGCUUCAGGUUACAAGGGACCGUACCCCAAACCGACACAGGUGGAUGGGAUGAGAAUUCUAAGGCGCUUGAGAGAACUCUGGUGAAGGAACUAGGCAAAAUAGCACCGUAACUUCGGGAGAAGGUGUGCCUUAAUGGUGAAGCGACUUGCUCGUGGAGCUAAUUAAGGUUGCAGUGAAAUGGUGGCUGCGACUGUUUAUUAAAAACACAGCACUCUGCAAACUCGCAAGAGGACGUAUAGGGUGUGACGCCUGCCCGGUGCCGGAAGGUUAAUUGAUGGGGUUAGACUUAGGUCGAAGCUCUUGAUCGAAGCCCCGGUAAACGGCGGCCGUAACUAUAACGGUCCUAAGGUAGCGAAAUUCCUUGUCGGGUAAGUUCCGACCUGCACGAAUGGCGUAACGAUGGCCACACUGUCUCCACCAGAGACUCAGUGAAAUUGAAAUUGCGGUUAAGAUGCCGUAUACCCGCGGCUAGACGGAAAGACCCCGUGAACCUUUACUAUAGCUUUGCACUGAACAUUGGACCUACCUGUGUAGGAUAGCUGGGAGGCGUUGAAACAUUGUCGCUAGAUGAUGUGGAGCCGCACUUGAAAUACCAGCCUGGUAGUUUUGAUGUUCUAACCUAGGUCCGUAAGCCGGAUCGGGGACAGUGUAUGGUGGGUAGUUUGACUGGGGCGGUCUCCUCCCAAAGAGUAACGGAGGAGCACGAAGGUAUGCUAAUCAUGGUCGGACAUCAUGAGGUUAGUGCAAUGGCAUAAGCAUGCUUGACUGCGAGACAGACACGUCGAGCAGGUACGAAAGUAGGUCAUAGUGAUCCGGUGGUUCUGAAUGGAAGGGCCAUCGCUCAACGGAUAAAAGGUACUCCGGGGAUAACAGGCUGAUACCGCCCAAGAGUUCACAUCGACGGCGGUGUUUGGCACCUCGAUGUCGGCUCAUCACAUCCUGGGGCUGUAGCCGGUCCCAAGGGUAUGGCUGUUCGCCAUUUAAAGUGGUACGCGAGCUGGGUUUAGAACGUCGUGAGACAGUUCGGUCCCUAUCUGCCGUGGGCGUUGGAAAUUUGAGAGGAGCUGCUCCUAGUACGAGAGGACCGGAGUGGACGUACCCCUGGUGUUUGGGUUGUCAUGCCAAUGGCAUUGCCCAGUAGCUAUGUACGGACGGGAUAAACGCUGAAAGCAUCUAAGCGUGAAGCCCCCCUCAAGAUUAGAUUUCCCCGAGCUAUAAGCUCCUGAAGGGCCGUUGAAGACUACGACGUUGAUAGGUUGGGUGUGGAAGCGCAGUAAUGUGUGAAGCUAACCAAUACUAAUUGCCCGUGAGGCUUGACCAU
rnacentral:rRNA from 1 species